rnacentral:misc_RNA from 1 species
GCCCCACCACUGCGUUACUGCCUGCUACAGCGGCCAGUAGCCAGUAGUUCUCACACCGGCGCGAGGCUCGCACGCCCCGCACGACCACGCGUUACAAUAAACAGUGAAAGUCGCACGCGCAGUUUACGCUACGAAUUCGUGAGCUCGACAUCUUCUAGUUAUUUUGUUUGCGCCAGUGCAACGGGGGAAAGGAGGUCGUUGCGCGUUCGCGACCCUAUCAGAUACGUCAUACAAGGAAAAUAACGCAUAUAAUCAAAAAUGUGAAAUGGUCGUCGUUUUAAACAACAUCCAUGUCAAUGGAAUCAGUGAAAUAAACGGUACUGUGGUAUUUUGCUACUGAGUGCGACAGUGACAGUGAGUGACCAUGAGCGGGAGUGAGCCAACGUUAACUGAAUCGCCGGUCCCUCUGGCGCUGGCGCGUCUGCAGGGCCGGCCGGGCCGCAUGCGGGUCCACCGCCCCAGUCUCCCACUCGCGAGCCUGCAGGAGGCGAUCGACGAAACCCCCCGACGCUGCAAUGAAGAGCUCCCCGCUCCCGACACGGACGACGAGGAAACCUUCGCCGAUCCCGUGGUCAGCAAGCCGUCUCCGUCCGCUUCCAACGGGCGAAGGGCGUCGGACGCCACGUUCGCCGAGCGAUACAGAAAGCUGACGGAGUUCGACGGGCCGCCGCCCGAAAUGCCUCGGCGAGCCUCUCUGGCCGUACCCGUCGGAGCGGACGGCUUCGGACCUAGCGACAAAGGCCGCAGGCGCUCCUGGGCGGCUCGACUCCAGCUCGAGCGCAAAAAGAGACGAAAGUCCGGCGGCAACGACACCGACGAUGAAUGCGACCCGCCGGCGUAUAUACGUCAGAAGCGACCUUCUUGGUGGAAUGUUUUCAUGCCAGAUAACAUGCUGAAAAACAGGUCUAGGCGAGCCUCGCAGCAGCUGUCCCGGAGUGCCGAAAGCAUUGACCAGUCCUACAAAAGGUCGAAGAGCCGCUCUGUGGACCAUGGCUUCGCCGCCCCAUUCGACUUGGACACACUGCGCUCCAAAGUGGAAGGGAGGUUCGACGCUGUGCAUAGAGAUGAAGAUGAACAGAACAAGAGACUACCUCCACCGACACCCAUCAAAACAAUGACAUACACAGUCCGAGACCGUGACACGCUGACGUCGUUGGCGGCACGCUUUGACACCACGCCCUCCGAGCUCACGAAGCUGAACCGCCUCGCCACACAGUUCAUCUUCCCCGGGCAGACGCUGCUUGUGCCGGACAAGAGGAAAGAUGGCGAUAAGGACUCGGAUGGCCCGUCUGAGAGCGGCGAUAACACGUCGGAAUCUACGCAGGGUGCACCCAGUGAGCCGGCGCAGGAAAAAGAGAUCCUCGACAACCUGCGUCCCGUGUCCCCAGACGCGCCGACCAGCAGCAGCGCCCCGCAGAGGUUCCUCAAGAUCAACGUGCGACACAUCACAGAUGGACAGGGCGUUGUGUCCGGUGUUUUGCUAGUGACCCCAAACGCGGUCAUGUUCGACCCGAACGUGUCCGACACGCUUGUGAUGGAGCACGGGCCCGAGUCGUACGGCGUUAUCGCGCCCAUGGAGUACGUCGUCAACUCCGCCAUAUUCUACGACAUUGCGCACAUGCGGACACACGGCCCCGACCACAACGCGCACAAAGCCGAGCAAGCUGAAAUCUAUUACAUGAAUAAAUCUGAGCAUUCGCCCGGCAAGGAUUCCCUUCUAGUCAAAGACGAAACUUUCCCCGAGCUGCAGGCAGCGGGGGAAGCCCCCGGCGCGGAGGGAGCCGAAGACAGGCCUUCGUCCCUCGACACGGAGGAGCGGGGCGGCGCUGCGUUCCCUAAAGCCUUCGAUCGCGACCUGGUCACUCCUACCCCUAUCCACCAGCAAACUACAGAGGAAAGGCGGAAAUCUCUACUCGACCAUCACUGGGCGAUCCCGAGCAAGGAUAGAAUGUCUAUCGAUCAAGGAAGUGAGGUGUCCUCGAGCGCUGACCACGGCAAAGAAGAAAGUCUCGAAACAUCGGUCGCGGAGGGGUCGGUAGAGGAGCGCGCGGGUAGUGCGGAGGGCGAGGGAGACGCGGAGGGCGAGGCGGAGGGUGAGGAGCGCGGGGAGCGGGGCGACGCCGCACAUCUGGUGAAGCUCUCCUACCAUGACUCCGGCAUCGACAUCCGUGACCCGCUGCUGCACGUCACGCCUACCAACGCCAAGAAGGUAUACAGUGACGCGGACAUAGUGCUGUCAGCGGACUGGGUCCCCCCAGUGUGCUUGCCGCGCACCGAGCCGCCCCUGUCGGCGCCUCCGCUCGGCGAGAACGACCGGGUGACGCGCAAGCCCGCUGCCGUGUCUUUCUCACUCGAUGGCAACCAGAAGGAAGACCCUGGGAAACCUGAUAAGAAGAAUAAGAUGCUAAAACGCCUGUCCUACCCGCUGUCCUGGGUGGAGGGUUUGACCGGGGAAGGCGCUCCGACCACACAGGCCGACUCGCUGCCCACCUCCGCCGAUAGCCACAACUCCACUUCCGUAUUCUCCAAAGUAUUUAACAGGCGGAGCUCCCUUGGCGGAUUCGGUCGUUCUCAACCCAAAGUAGCCGGUGCAGCGCAGCCCAGGCUCGACUAUCGCAGUAUGGUGUCAGUGGACGACAUGCCCGAUCUGUUCGCCUCUUUUGAUAAACUAAUACCGCGUCCGGCGCGACCGAGUGACGACCCACCGCUGUACCUGCGGCUGCGUAUGGGCAAGCCGGCCGGCCGCCCGCUGCCGCGCUCCACGCCGCUGAUGUCCUACGGCCGCAAACGCAUGAAGCCCGAGUACUGGUUCGGCAUUCCUAGAAAUAGGGUGGACGAUCUGUUCAAGUUCCUGACGCACUGGGUGCCGGAGCGGUACGGGCCGCUGCGCGACGUGACCGCGCACGGCUACGAGCUCAUCGACAGCGACACCGAGUGGGACGACGACGACUCCAAACCCGGACAGAAGGAACGUUCCGGAAGCACAGGAGAUGUAUCAGAUAUCACAAGGGAGUCCUGGGAGCUGCUGAAGGCGCCGUACGUCAAGGUAUAUUCUAUAAUGAAGAGCCAGGCCGAAGCCCUGGGCGACUCCCUCGGCGAGGAACCGCAACCAGAGGUGCUGUCUAUGAGCGAUGAGCUGCGACGCGCGCUUUACUCGUCGGGCGCGUCCGUCGACAUGGAGUUCUCGCCGCCCGACCUCAUCGGCACCUCGGAAAUAUUCACCAUGGAACAUCGAGAGAAGCUAUGCACCGUGCUGCCGGCGCGCGCGCAGGGCUACAUGUGGUCGCUGGCCUUCAGCACGAGCCAGCACGGCUUCUCGCUCGCCUCCAUGUACCGCAAGAUGCAGCGCGUCGACAGCCCCGUGCUGCUCGUCAUACAGGACACUGACAACAAUGUGUUCGGAGCGCUGACGUCGUGCGCGCUGCGGCCGUCGGAGCACUUCUACGGCACAGGCGAGUCGCUGCUGUUCUCGUUCCAGCGCGUGGAGGACGCGCGGCGCGGCUCGCAGGCGGCGACCGAAGACACCAACCACAAGGACGAGAAGGAAGAGAAGAAAGACGAUAACGAAGAACAAGCAGUAGCGUUCAAGACCAAAUUCAAGUACUGGGGCUGGACCGGAGACAACAUGUAUUUCAUACGAGGGAGCAACGACAACAUCUCCAUCGGCGCUGGAGACGGCAAGUUCGGGCUGUGGCUGGACGGCGACCUGUACCUGGGCCGCACGCAGCGCUGCACCACGUACGGCAACGAGCCGCUCACCACGCGCGAGGACUUCAUCGUCAAGAUCAUGGAGUGCUGGACCUUCAUAUGAGCCGGCGGGGGCUUCGCACUACUGUCUUAUGAACGUUUGCUACGAAGAUUUGACACUUUCGAGCCACUAGUCACGCGCCGCACGAUACGUAGCACACGUCGCUUGCCGCGUCGCUCGUCGCGUCGCUCGCCACGUCGCUUGUCGCGUCGCUCGCCGCGUCGCUCGUCGCGUCGCUUGCCGCGUGGCUAGCCUCGCGAGGCGAGUGCAUCAUACCUAGUCAAUUGUCGUUCGUAUGUAAGUUGAGUUCGUCGCGACGGAGGAGGUGGGGGCUGUCCGAUAACGAUUACGUGUCAAUUCAAUUUAUUACUGUGCGUCGUUGUUAAGAAAAAAUU